rnacentral:sRNA from 1 species
UGGCAGUGGUGGAUAAAUUGGCAGCGAUAGAUAGGUUGGCAGCGAUAGAUUAGCAGUGAUAGAUUAGCAGCGAUAGAUUAGCAGCGAUAGAUAGAUUGGCAGUGAUAGAUAGGUUGGCAGCGAUAGAUUAGCAGUGAUAGAUAGCUUAGUAGUGAGGGAUAGCUUAGCAGCGAGGGAUAGCUUAGCAGCGAGGGAUAGCUUAGCAGUGAGAGAUAGCUUAGCAGUGAGGGAUAGCUUAGCAGCGAAGGAUAGCUUAGCAGCGAGGGAUAGAUUGGCAGCGGCGAUAGAUUAGCAGCGAUAGAUAGAUUGGCAGCAGCGAUAGAUUAGCAGCGAUAGAUUAGCAGCAAUAGAUUGGCAGCGAUAGAUAGAUUGGCAGUGGUGGAUGAAUUGGCAGCGAUAGAUAGAUUCGCCGCGGUAGAUGGGUUGGCAGCGAUAGAUUAGCAGCGAUAGAU